rnacentral:SRP_RNA from 1 species
UCGUGCUAGACGGGGAGCUGGCGGUGCCCUGUACCCGCAAUCCGCCAUAGCGGGGUCGAACUCCCCCUCGAGGGCCGUGCUCCAGCGAGCCUGCCCUGGCCCGACGGCGAUGAAGGUUGGGUCCUGCGCGGCGGAGGCCUCCGAACCCCGCCAGGUCCGAGAGGAAGCAACGGUAAGGAGUUCCCUCCGGGUGCCGCAGGGGUGCCUGGCCGGAGCCGAAAGGUCCGGGUAAGUCGCUGAGGGCCGGUUCGACAGGGGGUGCACGA